UUUCUUCUUCUCUUAACCAAAGAUUUAGAGAGAGAAUUUAGAGAGAGAAAGCUAAGAAGAGAGAGAAAAAGUCUUGAGAAGAAACUAGAAAGCCUUCGAUCUUCACACGGUAAAUCUUCUUCUUCUUUCCUACUUUGUUUUCUUUACACUAUAACUUUUUAUCCUUAAGCUCUUUAUUCAUUAAAAAUUUCAGAAAAACUACUUCACGCAAGGACUCUACCAAAAAACCUUCCUUUCUCCUCCCAAAAAAUAAACCGAAAUGGAAAAGAUUAAGAUUUUAGUAAGGAAUUUCUUAAGUAUUUUCUCAUACAUUCGUAAGUAAAUUUUUUAGAUAAUUUAACUUGAGAUUUUAAAUGAUCUUGAUGCAUGGAUUUAAAAUGUGAUUGGUUGUUAAUUUACAUGAGUAUGAACAUAUGAAAUAAAAUGCAUGAUUGACUCAACACAUGAUGAUUUGAAGUAUGUGCGGGUUUGGCCCUUUACUUUAUGUUUGGUAAUGAUGGAGAGGGUCGUUCUAUUAGGUCUUGGCUCGAGAAGACGAUCUGAUGGCCAAGUUUAUGUAGAAUGAGCCUUUGUGCCAGAAUAUGUUAUUAGACCCCAUCAGGUCCUAAAUAUGUGAUUAUUCUAAAAGAAAAUUAGUAAAAGAAAUAGAAAACAAUGGAAAAUUUAUUUGAUCGUUAUCUCUGAGGAGUUUCUAUUUCUGUCUGAAUCUAUAUCUUAAUAUGUUGGUGAAUCGCUCCUUGUGAAUGAGAUUGUGUUCCCUCGAAUGAAAGUGGAUUCACAAUAUGAUCUGUAGGAGGCCACAGUGGCCAAGUACACCCGUGGUCGUUGAUCUUAUCUAAUCUAUAGAGGUCACAAUAGCAAAGUACGGAUGUGACCUAAGUUUGUAUGAUUGAUAUGUAAAUAAAUAUGUUUGUUAUUCACAUUGAUAGUUUGGGGAUCCCUUCUGCCCUGAAUUGAUAUAAGUUAGAACAGCUUCACACAAAGAUUUAUAAAAGACGUAAAUAAAACUUAACUAUCUGAUAACAUGACUAGAAUAGUUUUUUGGUAUGUCAUGCUAUAAUGAUUUUGUAUGAUAUGUUCUUUUCUAUUUUAUCAUGAUCUCUUUAUGCUCUUAGUUGAUUCAAAUAGUUUUAAUUACACUACUUGGUUGUGUCUUGUUAUCUUGUUUUCCACUUAGUUCUUACGUCCUAUUAUAAUAUCAAUGUUUUAAUGGUUUUUAAAAGAAAGAUAAAGGUUUUUUUAAUAUUUAAAAAUAAACCCACUCUUUGACGAAUUAUAAAGGUAAAUCAUUCAUUUAAGUAAAGGCAUUUUAUUUUAAAAUUAAUGAGCUUUGUAAACCUUAGUAGUAUAGUACAAAUACUAUUUUUCUUAUUAAGUUAUAUAACCCCAAUCCAUAUCUCUCCUUAGAUGAUGGAAGUGAUGACUCGCUUGUUGAGUUGCCCCUUAAAGCUUGUUUGGAUCUAUUCACAGAUCUUUAUGAAGAUUAGGAGUGCUUUAUCUAUUUGCACUUUGAUGAAACCAACUUGUAAUGGAAGAAGUGGCUCUCCAUAACCUUUUUCUAUAUAUAUUUUAGCAGCCAUCUUUUUGGUCUCAAUUGUAAAAUUUGAAUCUCAAAUUUUAUUGUAAGAGAUUUUAUUUUUUGCUGCAUAUAUUUUGAUUAUUUUCACUCAUAUUUAUUAUAUUUCAAGCACUCUUUUAUCACACGAGGUAUCUUGGACACCGAAUGAACACACACCUUCUCACUAAUAUAUAAGUAUGUACAUAUGUAUACAUAUGUGUUACAGUUUUGCCAUUUUCAGACGGUUCCCUCACAUCUCGCCUCUCCGAUAUCAUCUAUUACAGUAUCAAGACACCAUCUUCAAGUACGUCUAAACAGAGAGUAUAAAUAGAUGCAUGCUAGAACAGAUAGAAAAAAGGACUAAUCCAAAAACUUUAAGAAACCUAUAAAUCUUUCAUGUCGGUUAUUAUCAUAUAUUUGAAAUUUCUUAACAAAAUAAACAUAAGCUAGCAUUUAUUAGUGGGUUACGAAGGUAUAGAUGCUAGAAUAAUAGCAUGAUACUUCUUAACUUUACUGGAACCAAAACGGGUCGAGUAUUCACAACAGGUGUUGGGUUUUCCUAUUGGGUUUAUUUUUUAUAUUGAGG
rnacentral:lncRNA from 1 species